GGGCACAUGGUGUAAUUGGUAACACGUCCACUCAAUGAUGCAAUGACCGCAGCCUCGCUCGGUGACUCGGCACGAAGAAUGAUCCGGGCGGGGUGCGGCCGAUGGAGGGUGUUGAAGUUGCGGGUUCGAAUCUCGCUGUGUCCA